GUGGAGAUGGCCGAGUUGGUCUAAGGCACCAGAUUAAGGUUCUGGUCGGAAAGGGCGUGGGGUUCAAAUCCCACUCUCCACA
rnacentral:tRNA from 1 species